GCCAAUUUGAUCCUAGUUGCCUAACUAGCUCUCUCACUCCAUUACAUGCAAGUACCGUGCACCAACUGGUUCAACCUCAACAAAAAGCAGUAAAUAACUUUAAGCAAUAGGCGUCAGCCUGACUUAGGAAUAGAGAAGAACACCGGCAAAUCUCGUGCCAGCAGCCGCGGUUAUACGAGAAGUAUAAGCUAACUACGCCGGCGUAAAUGUGGUUAAACUUAGUCUUACAAAUAAAUGCUUUUCUUGCUGUUUGCACGCCCCUAAAAGCCAGAAAUUUGUACCUCCACGUCCAACCACAAAAGCUAGAAAAUAAACCGGGAUUAGAUACCCCGCUAUAUCUAGCCGUCACCAUCUUACUUUUUCAAAGCCAGAGAACUAUAUACAAAGUACAAAACUCAAAGGAUUUGGCGGUAUCUUAAACCUAACUAGAGGAGCCUGCCUUUUAAACCGAUAACCCGCGUUACACCUCACCAACUCUUGCUUUUCCCGCCUGUAUACCAUCGUCGUCAGCCUACUUUGUGAAAACACAUCAGCAGGCAAAACGGACUUGCCAAUACGUCAGAUCAAGGUGCAGCUAAUGAGUUAGGGAACGGUUGGCUACACUCCUUCCAGGGACGAAUUAUUACUUGCAACAGUUAUAUGAAGCAGGAUUUAGCCGUAGUUAAAGAAAGUACACUUUAACGAAGAAAGCUCUGAGAUGCGUACACAUCGCCCGUCACUUCCCCCACCAAAGCUACUAGUCCAUAAUAAUUACCAAAAUAGAGGGGGAAAAAGUCGUAACAUAGUAGGCGUACUGGAAAGUGCGCCUGGCCCAC
rnacentral:ncRNA from 1 species